rnacentral:rRNA from 1 species
UACGUAGGGGGCAAGCGUUGUCCGGAAUCAUUGGGCGUAAAGCGCGUGUAGGCGGCCCGGUAAGUCCGCUCUGAAAGUCCAGGGCUUAACCCUGGAAAGCGGGUGGAUACUGCCGGGCUUGAAUCCGGAAGAGGCGAGUGGAAUUCCUGGUGUAGCGGUGGAAUGCGCAGAUAUCAGGAGGAACACCAAUAGCGAAGGCAGCUCGCUGGGACAGUAUUGACGCUAAGGCGCGAAAGCGUGGGGAGCAAACAGG